CCUACGGGGGGCAGCAGUGGGGAAUAUUGCACAAUGGGCGGAACCCUGAUGCAGCGACGCCGCGUGAGUGAAGAAGUAUUUCGGUAUGUAAAGCUCUAUCAGCAGGGAAGACAAUGACGGUACCUGACUCAGAAGCGCCGGCUAAAUCCGUGCCAGCAGCCGCGGGAAUACGCGUGGGGCAAGCGUUAUCCGGAUUUACUGGGUGUAAAGGGAGCGUAGACGGGUAUGCAAGUCUGACGUGAAAGCCCAAGUCUUAACCAUGGAACUGCUUUGGAAACUGUAAAGCUGGAGUGCAGGAGAGGCAGGCGGAAUUCCUAGUGUAGCGGUGAAAUGCGUAGAUAUUAGGAGGAACACCAGUGGCGAAGGCGGCUUACUGGACUGUAACUGACGUUGAGGCGCGAAGGCGUGGGGAGCAAACAGGAUUAGAUACCCCAGUAGUC
rnacentral:rRNA from 1 species